rnacentral:rRNA from 1 species
AUGGCACAUAACAGAGCCCCUGGUCCGGAUAACAUCCAUGUUGAAUUCUAUCAGGUGUGCUGGGACAUAGUUAAAAAUGACAUAAUGCUGCUUUUCGAGCAUUUUCACAAAGGGACUUUAGAUGUCCAACGCCUCAAUUAUGGAGUGACUACACUUCUGCCUAAAACUGCUAGUGCUGAUAAGAUCCAGCAAUUUAGGCCUAUCUGCCUCCUGAGAUGCCCGUACAAGCUAAUUACUAAGGUUUUGGACCGGCGUGUGGAGAGGUACGCUGACAAACUAGUUAGCUCGACCCAGAAUGCGUUUGUGAAGGGGAGAGGCAUUAUGGAUGGUGUGCUCUCUUUACAUGAGAUUUUGAAUUAUACUCAUAUGAAAAAGAGGGUGGGGAUUGUCCUGAAGCUUGACUUUGAAAAAGCCUACGAUAAAGUUAACUGGGACUUUCUUUUGGAAUGCCACAAGCUCUGA